CAAGUUUGAGCAUAUGUGAACAAGUCUAGACAAAUGUGGACAUAUGUGAACAAAUAUGGACAAAUAAGGACAAGACAAUAUAUUAAUUUUAACAGUAUGUUUUUAGUGUGAUCUGCACUUGAUUUAGUUGUUCUUAUAGUCACUUUAGGGUUGAUUAUGUAAUUUUGAUGAGUAGGAGAAAUUGUGCAUGUGAAGUGUUU
rnacentral:lncRNA from 1 species